rnacentral:rRNA from 1 species
AAAACGCGCCUGUUUUUCAUAAACAUAUCCUGGUCGUCAAUCUAUUAUCAGAUGCUCCGGUCGUUCCCACAAUCAACACAAAUCUCAUUAGCGGUGACCGGUAAUGCAUAUCGCCUGUUUACCAAAAACAUGUCUUUUUGAGUUAAUUUAAAGUCCAAUCUGCCCAGUGAUUUAUUAAAGGGCCGCAGUAAUUUGACUGUACAAAGGUUGCUUAAUCCUUUCUCUUUUAAUUGAAGACUUGUAUGAAGGAUUUGAUGAAAAAAAAACUGUCUCCAAAUUAUAAUUAAAAUUUAAUUUUUUAUUAAAAAGGUAAAUAAAUUUAAAAGACGAGAAGACCCUAUAGAGUUUUAUAGUUUAUAAUUUAAAAUAUUUAUAUAAAAAAUUAAUAUAAAAUAUUAUAAAUUAUUUUGCUGGGGUGAUAAAAAAAUAAGAAAAACCCUUUUUUAAAUAAACAUAAAUAAUGAUAUAAACUCCAAAGAAAGGAGUGCAAUGGCUCAUGU